GUAACACCCAGCAUUAUGCCAGGUCUGUGGCAGGUGUUCGAGAAACUGCAGCUAUUGCUGUAUUCCAUACUUGGCUCCAUUCGUUAGUAACCUGUGUACUGCACUGGUUCCUGAAAUAUGAAGUGUAGUUUGUUGUGUCUGUUAAUGUUUCUCAGGUAAAAGAUGUGAGAUGGAGAAUGGAAGGCUUUCUUAGGAAACGUUUUUUCUUCCGUGGCCCAGUUGAAUUGGAUUUUGUGAUUGAUAUCCAUUGAUAACCUAUCAAUAUCCAAUCUAAGUGAUAAGAAUUUUGCAUGUUUUG